CAGUAGCCGCGGUAAUACAGAGGGUGCGAGCGUUAAUCGGAUUUACUGGGCGUAAAGCGUGCGUAGGAGGCUUCUUAAGUCGGAUGUGAAAUCCCUGAGCUUAACUUAGGAAUUGCAUUCGAUACUGGGAAGCUAGAGUAUGGGAGAGGAUGGUAGAAUUCCAGGUGUAGCGGUGAAAUGCGUAGAGAUCUGGAGGAAUACAGAUGGCGAAGGCAGCCAUCUGGCCUAAUACUGACGCUGAGGUACGAAAGCAUGGGGAGCAAACAGGAUUAGAUACCCCUGUAGUCCCUGUCUCUUAUAC
rnacentral:rRNA from 1 species